rfam:Environmental sequence ctg15940, whole genome shotgun sequence.
CAGUGGGUGCAAAUCCCACCCGGCAACUAUCGCUCCAGUCGCUAGCAAUCGGAGCAGCCGAGAAGGAUGGGUAGCUGAAGCCUUCGGCGCAAUGGUCACCUUGGGUGACUUGAUGAGUGUGCAGGCCGUUGCGAAG